rnacentral:rRNA from 1 species
CCUACGGGUGGCAGCAGUGAGGAAUAUUGGUCAAUGGACGCAAGUCUGAACCAGCCAUGCCGCGUGCAGGAAGACGGCUCUAUGAGUUGUAAACUGCUUUUGUACGAGGGUAAACGCAGAUACGCGUAUCUGUCUGAAAGUAUCGUACGAAUAAGGAUCGGCUAACUCCGUGCCAGCAGCCGCGGUAAUACGGAGGAUUCAAGCGUUAUCCGGAUUUAUUGGGUUUAAAGGGUGCGUAGGCGGUCGGAUAAGUUAGAGGUGAAAUCCCGAGGCUCAACUUCGGAAUUGCCUCUGAUACUGUUCGGCUAGAGAGUAGUUGCGGUAGGCGGAAUGUAUGGUGUAGCGGUGAAAUGCUUAGAGAUCAUACAGAACACCGAUUGCGAAGGCAGCUUACCAAGCUACUUCUGACGUUGAGGCACGAAAGCGUGGGGAGCAUACAGGAUUAGAUACCCUUGUAGUC